rnacentral:lncRNA from 1 species
CUGAUCCCCUCCCCAAAGUCUUAGAAGUGGCUGAAAAGGUUGCAUCUGAAAGGGCUGGGAAAACCUUGCAUACUGAAGCCAUUCAGGGAGAUGGAAAUAAGAAUACAGAUGUUCCUGCAACAUCUGUCAAUCCUACUACGGCAUCUGCUCAAGCUAAGAGGGUAGCAUCUGACACAGGAGGGGAAAAUUUGAGUGCCAAAGCCAUAGUGGAAGACCACAGUAAGAAGGGCAAGGGGGUUGCUUCUCCAUCUGUCAGUCCUACUAAGGACAAGAGUGAUCCUCCUCCAUCUGUCAAUCCUACUACAAAACCUGCUCAAGCUAAGGAGGGCAAUCAUGAAAGUCAAGCUUCCAUCCAUCAGAAUGAAGUUCCUAGACCUAGCUUAAUGGAAAGGAAUGGCACUGCUCGCAC